GUCCAGGUGACGAGUCUCAAAAAGGACGAAAUGCACAUCCUAGAU
rfam:Trichobilharzia regenti genome assembly, scaffold: TRE_scaffold0031138